AAAGUCCCGUCGUAGAAGGAGAACCGAUUCCACUACGUAGCGAGUCUUGCGUCGCCGUAGGUAACGAAGGCGACGAAGCGUAGAUAGCGAAACCGGCGAGCCAAAACCCGAGCGUAAGGGUGAACGAAGUCGAGCCUCGAAAUAAUAAAAGAACGUGAGAGCAGAUGGGCUAUAAAACCCAGCAAGCAACAGGCGAUUAGCAGAACUAAAUCGGGAAACAAAAGCUGCAAAUCACCUCCCACCGGGGUCAUAGACGU
rfam:Gammaproteobacteria bacterium GWE2_42_36 gwe2_scaffold_469, whole genome shotgun sequence.